rnacentral:rRNA from 1 species
CGUAGGUGGCAAGCGUUGUCCGGAAUAACUGGGCGUAAAGCGCAUGUAGACGGCAUGAUAAGCCAAAUGUGAAAUGUAGGGGCUCAACCCCUGCACUGCGAUUGGAACUGUCAAGCUUGAGUGCAGGAGAGGCAAAUGGAAUUCCCAGUGUAGCAGUGAAAUGCGUAGAGAUUGGGAGGAACACCAGUGGCGAAGGCGAUUUGCUGGA